rnacentral:lncRNA from 1 species
GCUUUGAAAGAUUUAAGCAGUUACUUAAUACAAACCCAUUUGCAAAGACCACACUGCCCUGAUUCAUAGUCUUUCUUUGUCAUACUCAACACCUGGCUUCCUAAUUUUGUUCCUUGGAUUCUCUCUGCUGUACUAAGCUCUACUUAAUUUUUUCCUUUUCUUUUUGAUUCCUAAAAUAGAAACCAACACCAAAAAAAAAAAAAAAAAGAGAGAGAGAGAGAGAGAAAAAUUGCUGUUUUGAAUGUGUGAGUUUUUCAGUUUUAGGUAAGAGAAACCCAAGUAGGAGAAGGAGACAGAGAAGACACAAGGGAGAUGUUUAUUGACUAAUAGAACCUAAAAGGUCAGGUCUGGAUCUAAAUGCUCAAUAAGUGUCAGGAACCUCUCCUUUCUACACUCUUCCCUUUUCUUUCUUGGCUAUGUUUAUUCAGAAAGGAUCUUUGCAAGUAAUACCAAGCUAUGGUCCCGUAGCUUUAGGCUUACACUCUUGACUAACUGCAGUGGUAAAAGAACACCCAUUUGACUAGAGGUUCCUAGAAUAGGUUCUGAUUUCCCUGGCUUAAAGGGUGUGUCUUUUUAUUUUUUUAUUUUUUUGUAAGAUUUGUUUAUGUAUAUGAGUAUACUGUCACUGUCUUCAAACACACCAGAAGAGGGCAUCAGACCCCAUUACAGAUGGUUAUAAGACACCAUGUGGUUGCUGGGAAUUGAGCUCUUAACCACUGAGCCAUUUCUCCAGCCCACAUCUACCUCUUUUUUGAAACAAAUACUUUUGCUAGUGAGUGGAAUCCUCUUACAAAUUCAUAUAUCUGAAUUGAAGAAUAGGCCCAACACCCCAAACCACAAAACUGUCAUUAUAGCUUCUAAAGAAAAUCCAGGUGAGGAAAGAGUGUUGGCCAGAAAUGAUCUGUGUCACUUUUGUCACAGAGAUUCUGUAAGUUACCAUAGAACUCGAAGCAUUAUGUAUUCCAAACUUCAGAGGUUCUUCAUAAAGGGGAAAAACUGAAUUAAGAGAAGUUAUGGCUUCAUUCAGAUCGCAUAGCAUUCCUGUUUUCAGGUCACCUGAGUCAGAUUCAUUUAGGUCCUGUACUGCAUUUGAGCAAGAUAAACAUGUAUAGUCCUACUUGUUUCUUAUUAAAGUAGAGGCAGCAGGGCUGGCCUCAGUGUGCGUGGGACCCAGCAGUUGGCAGGUAGAGUUAGGAGGAUCAAGAGUCAAAGCCACCAUCAGAUCCUGCAGUGUGUUUGAGGCCAGCUCUCCCCUGGGGGGAAAUUGAGGUUGUAAUGGUUGGCUGUGGUGUCACAGAGGCCUAUAAUCUCCACUGUUGGAGCCUGAAGCAAUAGAAUACCUAUUUUGAGACCAUUCUGGGGUACAUAAUGAGACCCUGUCUUAAAACAUAAGAUAUGUGAUAAUAUAUACCUUGUAAUUUUAUGGGAAUAAUAGAAAUAUGUUUUGAAUAUUAGAAAAUAUCUACAAUAACUACUAUUGUCAUAGUAUUAGUAACCACAUUCUUUUGUUUAUUGAAUUACUGCCUUGUUUAUUGUGGUCAUUCAGAAUGUAGGUUUUUCCUCUUCAAGCAAAUACUUUUUAGGUUGAAACUUUUAUUUAUGAGUUUAGACUUGGAAAAUAUUUUCCAGUUUAUUAAGAAAGUUUGCUCAAAUAGAAAAUUACUUCUUUAAGGACUCUAAGUUGUGAAUUUACCUUCUAGAAGAUCAUCUAGAAUCUGAAUGCAUAGAGGAUGAACAUACAUUAUAUAUACAUAUAUAUAUACACACACACACUGUGUUGUUCCGUGCUAAUCCCGUAUAGUAGUCUUAUGACAGUAGUAUAGAUCUCAAAGAUGUAUGUCCUCCAUAUAAGUCUGUUUUUCAAAGAGCCAGCCAGGCAUGGUGGAACACACCUUAAAUCCCGAGCACUUGGGAAGUAUGAGUUUCAAGACACAAAGAAACUCUUAUCUUGAAAACCAAAAAGAGAAAAAGUAAUUAGCAUCAAGUAGCCAAGGCUUAUAAAAGAAGAAUUAAUGAAAAAUACACUAGGAAAAUGUAAAAUUCCAAGGCAGGCUUUUCUUAUCGGAAUAGCAUUAUAAUAAAAACCAUAAAACUGAUCAAAGAUGUCAUUUUACACUCACACAGGAGACACUUCAUACGGACACUGAGCUGUUACGAACGUCUGUGCCAAAAGGAGUCAACUUUGUUAAGCAAAUGCU